rnacentral:rRNA from 1 species
UACGUAGGGGGCAAGCGUUGUCCGGAUUUACUGGGCGUAAAGAGCGUGUAGGCGGCUAUUUAAGUCCUGCGUGAAAUCCUGCGGCUCAACCGCAGACGGUCGUGGGAAACUGGAUGGCUAGAGUGCGGGAGAGGAGAGUGGAAUUCCCGGUGUAGCGGUGAAAUGCGCAGAUAUCGGGAAGAACACCCGUGGCGAAGGCGGCUCUCUGGAACGCAACUGACGCUGAGACGCGAAAGCGUGGGGAGCAAACAGG